GCAGUCGAACGAUGACGACCGUGCUCGCACGGUCUGAUUAGUGGCGAACGGGUGAGUAACACGUGAGUAACCUGCCCCUCACUUCGGGAUAACCUCGGGAAAUCGUGGCUAAUACCGGAUACGAGUCUCCACCGCAUGGUGGUGACUGGAAAGUUUUUCGGUGGGGGAUGGACUCGCGGCCUAUCAGUUUGUUGGUGAGGUAACGGCUCACCAAGGCGAUGACGGGUAGCCGGCCUGAGAGGGCGACCGGCCACACUGGGACUGAGACACGGCCCAGACUCCUACGGGAGGCAGCAGUGGGGAAUAUUGCACAAUGGGCGAAAGCCUGAUGCAGCGACGCCGCGUGAGGGAUGACGGCCUUCGGGUUGUAAACCUCUUUCAGUAGGGAAGAAGCGAAAGUGACGGUACCUGCAGAAGAAGCGCCGGCUAACUACGUGCCAGCAGCCGCGGUAAUACGUAGGGCGCAAGCGUUGUCCGGAAUUAUUGGGCGUAAAGAGCUUGUAGGUGGCUUGUCGCGUCUGCCGUGAAAACCCGAGGCUCAACCUCGGGCGUGCGGUGGGUACGGGCAGGCUAGAGUGUGGUAGGGGAGACUGGAACUCCUGGUGUAGCGGUGAAAUGCGCAGAUAUCAGGAAGAACACCGAUGGCGAAGGCAGGUCUCUGGGCCAUUACUGACACUGAGAAGCGAAAGCAUGGGUAGCGAACAGGAUUAGAUACCCUGGUAGUCCAUGCCGUAAACGUUGGGCACUAGGUGUGGGGGACAUUCCACGUUUUCCGCGCCGUAGCUAACGCAUUAAGUGCCCCGCC
rnacentral:rRNA from 1 species